ACUUAACACUAUUAGUACCUUCUAUUAUUUCAAAAAAAUUCCAUAUCGGACUUCUUCUUUUACGAUUAGAAGCCGGGUCAUUACUAUUACUACCAGAAGCUACUGGACUAGCAUCAUUAAACAUAUUGUAAAAAUGAAAAUAUAAGCUUAAAUUAAAUAUGCAAUUAAAAUAUUAAAUAAGAGAAAGAGUUGGAAAGAGUGCACNNN
rnacentral:lncRNA from 1 species